CAGUCGCCGCGGGAAUACAGAGGGUGCGAGCGUUAAUCGGAUUUACUGGGCGUAAAGCGUGCGUAGGCGGCUUCUUAAGUCGGAUGUGAAAUCCCUGAGCUUAACUUAGGAAUUGCAUUCGAUACUGGGAAGCUAGAGUAUGGGAGAGGAUGGUAGAAUUCCAGGUGUAGCGGUGAAAUGCGUAGAGAUCUGGAGGAAUACCGAUGGCGAAGGCAGCCAUCUGGCCUAAUACUGACGCUGAGGUACGAAAGCAUGGGGAGCAAACAGGAUUAGAUACCCGGGUAGUCCCUGUCUCUUAUAA
rnacentral:rRNA from 1 species